UUGGGAAGAAAACUGCCUACCUUGUCCAGAAAGGUGUGCUGGUCAAUGUGACCGUGCUGGAGGUUGUAAUGAAUGCCAAGACGGAUUCUUUGGAUUGGAAUGUUCGUAUAGAUGCCCGGCUAACUGUGGAAGUAGAAAAUGUGAGAAGACAUUCGGCGAUUGUUUUGAUUGUCAAGUCGGAUUCCAUGGUUACAGAUGCACGUUUUCAUGUCCAUCUUCUUGCC